CUGCACCCAUACCCUCUGGCAUAGUAUGGGAAUGAAACUUUACAUACACAGUGAAUUUUACAGCAGAGAAGGUUAGAAGCUUCAACCAAGAGACCAAAACCAUAGGCCACAAGAAGUAACUUAACACUCUAAAAGGGAAGGCAAGACUUACUUGCUCACGUUUUAAAUAACUGGUGUCUACACCCAGAAUUUCCUUACACAGAGCCGAUAUUUACGCCCAGACUCACAUAACACAGAGACGGUAUUUAUACCCAGACUCACAUAACACAGAGACGGUAUUUAUGCUCAGAUUUCCCUUACACAGAGCCGGUACUUACACCCAGACUCAUAUUACACAGAGACAGUAUUUAUGCCCAGACUCACAUUACGCAGAGCUUGAGUUUGCACCCAGACUCACAUUAUGCAGAGCUGAAAUUUGCACUCAGACUCAGAUUACACAGAGCUGGUAUUUACGUCGAGAAUCACAUUACACCAAGCUGGUAUUUAUGCCCAGACUCACGGUACAUAAAGCUAGUAAAUGUGCACAGACUCACAUUACACAGAGCUGGUAUCUUUGCCCAGACUCACUUUAAGUAGAGUUAGUAGCUACGUCCAGUCUCACUUUACACAGAACGAAAAAAAAAACCCUAGAUGCUUUGUUCUGCGCCAAAAAGCUUGUCGGGUGAUUAUAAUUUAUUUCAUUUUUGUUUUCUUUUCUAAAUGCGGUGUAUUUACCAGGAUACAGCGCUUCCAACUGAGACAUGAAUUAUUAUGAGUUUUGCUGUAUUUAACUAAGUGUUGAGGAGAUUUAGUGAUCAUUGUGCCCAGACUCACAUUACACAGAGCUGGUACUGAUACCCAGACUAGCAUUACACAGAGCCAGUAUUUACGCCCAUACUUGCAUUACACAGAGCCAAUAUUUACUCCCAAACUUACAUUACAUUACACAGAACUGGUAUUUACACCCAGACUAACAUUACACAGAGCAGGUAAAUACUUGCAAACUCACAUUAUACAGAGGUAGUAUUUACGGCCAGACUCACAUUAUACAGAGCCACUAUUUACUCCCAGACUCACAUUACACUGAGCUAGUUGUGAUAUCUUGCUCAGGUAUACAUGACAUUUAGCAGAUGUGAACAGCACUUUAGGAAGAGAUUAAAAGGGCCGGGUACUCAGUCCUCUUUAGGUAAGCAUUGUUGGGAAUUUUCAGACCCUGACCACUCCAUCAUGUGAUAUGGGAGCCUCCACCCAGUUCACAUAAUUGCAUUCACUGCAGGGGAUAACAGGUGGCACAGAAACGUUGUGCUCAAUUAAAGUAACUUUCAGAUUUAGACCCAGCCUGGAAAGUAGGAUUUGGUGAAUUGAUGCCUUCAGGAGGAGAUGUUCUUUUAAAAGUAUUGUUAAUGCAUUUGUAAAGUAGGAGAUGGUUUUGUCUGGAAAAAGUCACACAAUAUCUUGGGGCAAUAUCUCCUGGCUCGUGGUAACAUGGCAUGAGUUAAUAUCAAACGUGGAAUAUCAUGUGUUGAUGAACUCC